rnacentral:rRNA from 1 species
UACGAAGGGGGCUAGCGUUGCUCGGAAUUACUGGGCGUAAAGGGCGCGUAGGCGGGUUGCCAAGUCCGGGGUGAAAGCCUCCAGCUUAACUGGAGAAGUGCCUUGGAUACUGGUGAUCUCGAGGGAGGUAGGGGCAUGUGGAACUUCCGGUGGAGCGGUGAAAUGCGUAGAUAUCGGAAGGAACGCCGGUGGCGAAAGCGACGUGCUGGACCUCUUCUGACGCUGAGGCGCGAAAGCUAGGGGAGCAAACGGG